rnacentral:rRNA from 1 species
GAACGAACUUCCGUUAAUUGAUUAUGAUGUGCUUGCACUGAAUGAUAUUUUAACACGAAGUGAGUGGCGGACGGGUGAGUAACACGUGGGUAACCUGCCCAGAAGCAGGGGAUAACACCUGGAAACAGAUGCUAAUACCGUAUAACAGAGAAAACCGCCUGGUUUUCUUUUAAAAGAUGGCUCUGCUAUCACUUCUGGAUGGACCCGCGGCGCAUUAGCUAGUUGGUGAGGUAACGGCUCACCAAGGCGAUGAUGCGUAACCGACCUGAGAGGGUAAUCGGCCACAUUGGGACUGAGACACGGCCCAGACUCCUACGGGAGGCAGCAGUAGGGAAUCUUCCACAAUGGACGCAAGUCUGAUGGAGCAACGCCGCGUGAGUGAAGAAGGGUUUCGGCUCGUAAAGCUCUGUUGUUAAAGAAGAACGUGGGUGAGAGUAACUGUUCACCCAGUGACGGUAUUUAACCAGAAAGCCACGGCUAACUACGUGCCAGCAGCCGCGGUAAUACGUAGGUGGCAAGCGUUAUCCGGAUUUAUUGGGCGUAAAGCGAGCGCAGGCGGUCUUUUAAGUCUAAUGUGAAAGCCUUCGGCUCAACCGAAGAAGUGCAUUGGAAACUGGGAGACUUGAGUGCAGAAGAGGACAGUGGAACUCCGUGUGUAGCGGUGAAAUGCGUAGAUAUAUGGAAGAACACCAGUGGCGAAGGCGGCUGUCUGGUCUGUAACUGACGCUGAGGCUCGAAAGCAUGUGUAGCGAACAGGAUUAGAUACCCUGGUAGUCCAUGCCGUACACGAUGAUUACUAAGUGUUGGAGGGUUUCCGCCCUUCAGUGCUGCAUCUAACGCACUACUAAUCCGCCUGGCGAGUACGACCGCAAGGUUGAAACUCAAAGAAUUGACGGGGGCCGCACAGCUGUGGAUCAUGUGUAUAAUUCGAAGCUACGCGAAGAGCUUACCAGGUCUUGACAUACUUCUGCAUCUAGAGAUCAGUCGGUCCCUUCGGGCACAGUAUGACAUGGUGUUG